rnacentral:rRNA from 1 species
GACGAACGCUGGCGGCGUGCUUAACACAUGCAAGUCGAACGGCAAGGCCCUGCUUUUGUGGGGUGCUCGAGUGGCUAACGGGUGAGUAACACGUGAGUAACCUGCCCUUGACUUUGGGAUAACUUCAGGAAACUGGGGCUAAUACCGGAUAGGAGCUCCUGCUGCAUGGUGGGGGUUGGAAAGUUUCGGCGGGUGGGGUUGGACUCGCGGCUUAUCAGCUUGUUGGUUGGGUAGUGGCUUACCAAGGCUUUGACGGGUAGCCGGCCUGAGAGGGUGACCGGCCACAUUGGGACUGCGAUACGGCCCAGACUCCUACGGGAGGCAGCAGUGGGGAAUAUUGCACAAUGGGCGGAAGCCUGAUGCAGCAACGCCGCGUGCGGGAUGACGGCCUUCGGGUUGUAAACCGCUUUCGCCUGUGACGAAGCGUGAGUGACGGUAAUGGGUAAAGAAGCACCGGCUAACUACGUG